UAAUUACUGUCUUUAAAUUCCGCAUGUUUCCUUAAAAAUUAAAUCUGUUUGAAAGGAGGGGUGUGCCCACUAGGGGAGAUAGUAUGGGUGCCCUCAUGACCUACGUAUUGGGGUCGUGCUAUAGAGAUAGAGAGGGGAAGAGAAGGACCAAGAAUAUGAAACGAUUUUCAUGGUUCAAACAUCAUCUUUUCCAUUUCUUGGGAAGCAAAAUAGAUUCUUGAUGCUAACCUUCAGAAAUUUAUUCACUAUUUUCUUAAUGAGCCAUUCAUCAAAGCCUAGAGGUGUCAUGGCAUCAAUUGCUGCAUCCAUUCUGCUUAAUCACAAAUGAUGGCGUUAUCACUUCAAACUUCAAAAUAGUGCAUUUCCCAUUCCAGCAUGUCCGGUGCUUGUAGAUCAUUUUUGUAGAAGUCUUUUUAUUUUUCUUAAUGGAAAUGCUAUGCUCGCACAACUUAUGACUUACAAAUCUAAUAUUGACAAUGACAAUGAAAUUUGAUUGAAAAGUAAAAUUUGUUAGCUAUCUUCUUUAAGUUUGUGCAAUUUGUCACUGAUGCAGAUGAAUAGGGAUUGCAGAACAAUGGGCUCUAAAGAGUCCAGCCUAUUUCUACAGAGAGGAGAUUAUGUUCCUGGUUUGAAGAUUCUACUAGUCAUUCUAUAUGCAUCCGUCAAAAAGUGCAGGUUCCACACUGUUUCCAAUAGUUUUUGAUGGUACAGGGUAUAGAUCAUAGAGAUGAGUUGUACUUAGGGCAUUAUCGCUGAAGAGUAUGACUGAUUUCAUCAAUGGAAAGGUUAAGAAACCAGAUCCAGAGGAUUCCACAUAUGCACAAUCGGAAAGAUGUGAUAAUAUGGUGACUUCAUGGAUCCUCAACUCCUUCUCACCAAAUUUGAGGGGAUGAUUUACAGUAUGUUAAUAAUGCUAAGGAACUCUGGGAAGAGUUAAAGGAUAGAUAUGAUUAGGAAAAUGGUGCGAAAUUGUAUCAACAUCAAAGGGAAAUUACUUGGUUCACGGGAGAAUCGACAUCAUUGGAUAGUACGCAAAGAUGAAGAAACUUUGGGAGGAAAUGAGCACACUUGACACAAACUCUUAGUGCAUAUGUGGUGGAAAAACUAAGAUGCACAAAGCUGAGCAGGAUAGGUGUGAUUCAAUUUUUGAUGGGAUUAAAUUAAGUUUACACUAGUAUAAGAGGUAGUAUUUUGAUGAUAAAUCCAUUGCCUAGCAAGGCACCGGAAUUUGCAAUUUUGUCUCAAGAGGAGAAGUAAAGAGAAGUGAAACCUCACAACCUCACUGUUUUGGAAUCCACCUCCUUGAAUGUUGCUUCUAGUACUCAUAAUGCAACCUUUAGAACAAACUAUAACACAUACAAAGGUGCUUCCACUAGUGGAAGUAAUAUUUAUAGAAGUCCUCCUCCACUUGGAAACAACAAUAGGAUUACAUAUCCUCAAAGUAGCUCUUAUCCACAGAACAUGUCACAUCUAUUUUAUGACUACUGCAGGAGACAUGGGCAUACUAGAGACAAGUGAUACAAAAUACAUGGUUAUCCCCAGAAUUUCAAAUUCACAAGAGGAAAGAACACAGGAUCUGUAGCUAAUGUGCACACUAAUGAAGCUGAGAAAGGAUACUAUGAGGAGAAACAUGAAACUAACAGGGAAGGAAAAAUGAAUCUGUUAAUGGAUCAAUAUGAACAACUGUUGAACCUGUUGGGAAACUUGAAAUCUAGAAAAGGAAGUACAGACAAUUCAAAUAAGAUUCUCAGUAGAGCUGUAAACAAGCAGGUAUAUUGGCUUGCUACACUUCAAUAACUAAAAUUGGUGGACUGUCAUGUAACUGUGCUAGAAUAACUUCUAAUUCAUGGAUUAUAGAUUCAGAAGCUUCAUAUCACCUGACCUAUAACAAAACCACACUUAAGAAAGUUAGAACCUUACCAUAUUCCUUGCCAGUAUCCCUACCAAAUGGUUAUAAAUUUAAAAUAACUGAGAUUGGUGAUGCUUUCCUGAAUCCAGCAUUGACAUUAUGUAGAAUCUUGUUUGUACCUAGUUUCAAAUUUAAUUUGAUUUCAGUUCACUGCUUGGCUUUGCAACUUAGAGGAAUCUUUAGUUUUGACAGUUCUUCUUGUCUGAUGCAGGGCCCUUCUUUGAAGAGCCCUUUGGAAAUUGGAAGAAUAAGAAAUGGUUGUAUUUUCUAUGCUCAAAGUGUCACACUUGUUGCUCACCUUCUGUUAGUAACUGUUUCAGUUCAAGUUCUUCA